UACGAAGGGUGCAAGCGUUAAUCGGAAUUACUGGGCGUAAAGCGUGCGUAGACGGCCUGUUAAGUCGGAUGUGAAAGCCCCGGGCUCAACCUGGGAAUGGCAUCCGAUACUGAUGGGCUGGAGUGCGGUAGAGGAGAGCGGAAUUCCCGGUGUAGCGGUGAAAUGCGUAGAGAUCGGGAGGAACAUCCGUGGCGAAGGCGGCUCUCUGGACCAGCACUGACGUUGAGGCACGAAAGCGUGGGGAGCAAACAGG
rnacentral:rRNA from 1 species